rnacentral:tRNA from 1 species
GGCGCGAUAGCAAAGCGGUUAUGCCCCGGAUUGCAAAUCCGGUUAGCCGAGUUCGACUCUCGGUCGCGCCU